GAUGAACGCUGGCGGCGUGCCUAACACAUGCAAGUCGAGCGAACCCUUCGGGGUGAGCGGCGGACGGGUGAGUAACGCGUGGGUAACCUGCCCUGUACACACGGAUAACAUACCGAAAGGUAUGCUAAUACGAGAUAAUAUAUUUUAAUCGCAUGGUUAAGAUAUCAAAGCUCCGGCGGUACAGGAUGGACCCGCGUCUGAUUAGCUAGUUGGUGAGGUAAUGGCUCACCAAGGCGACGAUCAGUAGCCGACCUGAGAGGGUGAUCGGCCACACUGGAACUGAGACACGGUCCAGACUCCUACGGGAGGCAGCAGUGGGGAAUAUUGCACAAUGGGCGAAAGCCUGAUGCAGCAACGCCGCGUGAGCGAUGAAGGCCUUCGGGUCGUAAAGCUCUGUCCUCAAGGAAGAUAAUGACGGUACUUGAGGAGGAAGCCCCGGCUAACCACGUGCCAGCAGCCGCGGUAA
rnacentral:rRNA from 1 species